GACGAACGCUGGCGGCGUGCUUAACACAUGCAAGUCGUACGGUAAGGCCCUUUCGGGGGUACACGAGUGGCGAACGGGUGAGUAACACGUGCGUAACCUGCCCACAACUUUGGGAUAACGCUAGGAAACUGGUGCUAAUACUGGAUAUGUGCUCCUGCUGCAUGGUGGGGGUUGGAAAGCUCCGGCGGUUGUGGAUGGACUCGCGGCCUAUCAGCUUGUUGGUGGGGUAGUGGCCUACCAAGGCGGCGACGGGUAGCCGGCCUGAGAGGGUGACCGGCCACAUUGGGACUGAGAUACGGCCCAGACUCCUACGGGAGGCAGCAGUGGGGAAUAUUGCACAAUGGGCGCAAGCCUGAUGCAGCAACGCCGCGUGCGGGAUGACGGCCUUCGGGUUGUAAACCGCUUUCAGCAGGGACGAAGCUUUUUGUGACGGUACCUGCAGAAGAAGCACCGGCUAACUACGUG
rnacentral:rRNA from 1 species